GAACGAUGAUCCCAGCUUGCUGGGGGAUUAGUGGCGAACGGGUGAGUAACACGUGAGUAACCUGCCCUUAACUCUGGGAUAAGCCUGGGAAACUGGGUCUAAUACCGGAUAUGACUCCUCAUCGCAUGGUGGGGGGUGGAAAGCUUUAUUGUGGUUUUGGAUGGACUCGCGGCCUAUCAGCUUGUUGGUGAGGUAAUGGCUCACCAAGGCGACGACGGGUAGCCGGCCUGAGAGGGUGACCGGCCACACUGGGACUGAGACACGGCCCAGACUCCUACGGGAGGCAGCAGCGGGGAAUAUUGCACAAUGGGCGAAAGCCUGAUGCAGCGACGCCGCGUGAGGGAUGACGGCCUUCGGGUUGUAAACCUCUUUCAGUAGGGAAGAAGCGAAAGUGACGGUACCUGCAGAAGAAGCGCCGGCUAACUACGUGCCAGCAGCCGCGGUAAUACGUAGGGCGCAAGCGUUAUCCGGAAUUAUUGGGCGUAAAGAGCUCGUAGGCGGUUUGUCGCGUCUGCCGUGAAAGUCCGGGGCUCAACUCCGGAUCUGCGGUGGGUACGGGCAGACUAGAGUGAUGUAGGGGAGACUGGAAUUCCUGGUGUAGCGGUGAAAUGCGCAGAUAUCAGGAGGAACACCGAUGGCGAAGGCAGGUCUCUGGGCAUUAACUGACGCUGAGGAGCGAAAGCAUGGGAGCGAACAGGAUUAGAUACCCUGGUAGUCCAUGCCGUAAACGUUGGGCACUAGGUGUGGGGGACAUUCCACGUUUUCCGCGCCGUAGCUAACGCCAUUAAGUGCCCCGCCUGGGGAGUACGGCCGCAAGGCUUAAAACUCAAAGGAAUUGACGGGGGCCCGCACAAGCGGCGGAGCAUGCGGAUUAAUUCGAUGCAACGCGAAGAACCUUACCAAGGCUUGACAUGAACCGGAAACACCUGGAAACAGGUGCCCCGCUUGCGGUCGGUUUACAGGUGGUGCAUGGUUGUCGUCAGCUCGUGUCGUGAGAUGUUGGGUUAAGUCCCGCAACGAGCGCAACCCUCGUUCUAUGUUGCCAGCGCGUUAUGGCGGGGACUCAUAGGAGACUGCCGGGGUCAACUCGGAGGAAGGUGGGGACGACGUCAAAUCAUCAUGCCCCUUAUGUCUUGGGCUUCACGCAUGCUACAAUGGCCGGUACAAAGGGUUGCGAUACUGUGAGGUGGAGCUAAUCCCAAAAAGCCGGUCUCAGUUCGGAUUGGGGUCUGCAACUCGACCCCAUGAAGUCGGAGUCGCUAGU
rnacentral:rRNA from 1 species